UCUCUGCUCUGUGUGCUCACAGACAUCUGCAGACCUGCUGUCAGUGUGUUGUUUGCUCUCACAACAUCUCUGCUUCGCGCGCUCAACUCUCUGUACACCGUUAUAAGUGUGCCACAAAACCAACCAAUCACAGACUUGGAUGCAAAAAUUCUGAUUGGCUGUUUUGGUCUCCAAUCAGUUCGCUAGCUACUGUAGGCUAACCCAGGCAAAUAUCCCAGAAUGCAUUUCAUCGAAAACUUGAACAAGGCAGUUUCAGAGUGACGCAGAUUUAAAAUAUUACUCUUUCUGAAUCGCAAAAUAAACUUUUAAGAUAUUUUCAGGUGAGAAUGGUGCUGUUUAAACUUCAAAUAUCUACUCGAUUUAUCAAGACAUCACAUAUUUGCUCCAACGUUUUCCGAGAUGCCUGUUCUACUUCAGAGAUCACCUGCUGAUUAUUUCCCUGAAGCCUCCAUCGCUGCUGUCAGACGCAGAAGGCCAAAAGUGGAGGUGACUGGGGUCUAGCUGCACUAUAGUGUCAGAGUGUGUGAAGAUCAAAAAUCCAACAACAGCAGCAACAAGAAGAACAGAAGAAACUAUCAGACCAGCAAUCAGUCCAACAGAUCCAUCCUCCUUCUUCUCUUUGUCUUCAUCCUUCUCUUGUC